UGGGGAAUAUUGCACAAUGGAGGGAACUCUGAUGCAGCGACGCCGCGUGAGUGAUGAAGGAAUUCGUUUCGUAAAACUCUGUUCUAUGGGAAGAAAAGGACUGUACCAUAGGAGAAAGCUCCGGCUAAAUACGUGCCAGCAGCCGCGGUAAUACGUAUGGAGCGAGCGUUGUCCGGAAUUAUUGGGCGUAAAGGGUGCGCAGGCGGCUUUACAAGUUGGAUGUGAAAUAUUGUGGCUCAACCACAAACGUGCAUCCAAAACUGCAAAGCUUGAGUUAAGGAGAGGCAAGUGGAAUUCCUGGUGUAGCGGUGGAAUGCGUAGAUAUCAGGAGGAAUACCGGUGGCGAAGGCGACUUACUGGACUUAAACUGACGCACAGGCACGAAAGCGUGGGGAGCAAACAGG
rnacentral:rRNA from 1 species